UGGAUACGACAUUGCAUAUACUACACUGGAUUUUGUAAAAGUCUGUUAUCUUAUAUAUAUUGUCUGUUGUCUUAAGUUUGUCUGUAGUCUUUUAGCAUAAAAAUAUGCUAAUAGACACCAGACUUACGUGUCUGUUGUUAUAGAUGAGAUGUUAAAAACAAUUUUUAACACUGAUCCUAAUUGUCCAUAUUCAUAUGUAUGAUGUUAUUUAAAAAAAACAAAUGUUUUAUCAAAAAAAAAAAAUCAGUAACUUUUGACCGAGUCUUAGCAAAAAAAUAGAUGUAUUUUACCCCAAGUAAACAACUAAUUUCAAUAAAAAAAUAUGAAAAAUAAUUAUUAAAAAAACUCACAUUGAAAUCAAAGUAAAUUAGUCAAACAUUAGUAAAAUAGUUUUCCCUAAGCUAAAUUACCCCUUUUCGUAAAUCAAUUGUGAAAAUUUCUUAACUUCCGCCGCUGGAGUGGUUGUCACGCCGCACGGCUGCCGGUUAAUCUUGUUCCCGCCGCCGCGUCUCGUUUGCCCGCCCUUCUCCCUUGACGCUAGUCGCUCGGGCGUCGAGAAUCGUUGCCUUUCCCUCAAUAUCUGCCAUAAUUUUCCUCGCCGCGACGUCAACGUGCCUUCCUUACGAAGUCGCCGUCUCUGCCGCCACAGUGCCCUUCUACCGCCGCCGUCGAUAUUCUUUGAAGUAUUGGUAUAUACUGUGAUGCAGAAACUGCGAAUGAGAAUAUGGAAUUUAGAGCAUGAGAAUUGUCAAAAAGGUUGAUUGAUACAAAAAUCAAUCAAAUUUUCUUAGCUCCGUGUAAUGUGGAAUAUCAUUGGAUUCUUACGGUGAUUGACCCUAAUAAGGGAGAGAUUGCUAUCUUGGAUUCCCUAUACAAAGGAAUUCAUGAUAAAAUUUGGAAAGAAGUCGUGGAAUUGGCCUUAAGGUUGUUCAAUAUGGAGAAGAGAAAGAAUGGAAAGAAGAAGCCUGAUUGGACAAUACUGAAGGUUCCGAAACAACCGGACUUGACUCAAUGUGGUUUCUAUGUGAUGAAGUACAUGAGAGAGAUAGUGAUAAAUAGUCAUCCUUGGACGAUUGGUUCUCUACAAUCUUUGUUCAAUGCUCAUGAAAAGUAUUCAAAUGAAGAGAUAGAUGUAGUGCGAUCAGAGUGGGCAGAUUGUGUUCAAGAAUAUAUAAAGGAGUAAAAGGAUAUGUAGUGGUGAUGGCAAAGAAGACAAUAUUGGACGUAUUGGUUGAUGCAUCACAUUUUGAAGGAACGAAGGAGCAACAAGUGUUAACUCAUUUGAAUGCUAAGAUUCCAUUUAUUUGGUAGUGGAUCCACAAAUCAUGUUUACUCAUUUUAGUUAUAUAUAGUUUUUGUUAGAAUUUAGCUUAAGUGUUAGUAUUUUGUAAUGGAAUAUGGUAGAAUUGAUUUGGACGAAUCUUAAUUGUAAUGAAUAUUGAAAUUUUAUAAUGAUUAUAUUAUAAAUGAAAA